rnacentral:rRNA from 1 species
UACAGAGGGUGCGAGCGUUUGUUCGGAAUUAUUGGGCGUAAAGGGCGCGUAGGCGGUGCGGUAAGUCACCUGUGAAAUCUCCUGGCUCAACUGGGAGCUUGCAGGCGAAACUGCCGUGCUGGAGUGUGGGAGAGGUGAGUGGAAUUCCUGGUGUAGAGGUGAAAUUCGUAGAUAUCAGGAGGAACACCAGUGGCGAAGGCGGCUUUCUGGACGGUAACUGACGCUGAGACGCGAAAGCGUGGGGAGCGAACGGG